UUAGUCCUGAACUGUCGCCAAAUCUGAGAAUUGGAUAUGUUUCAAGUUAUAUACUAUAGACGAAUGGAGAAAAGGGAAGAACGUCCAGGGUGUUGCUUAAGAAAGAGGAAACAACAUGGAGACAGGUUUGCUCCUAGUGUUGUCUGCUGAGAUGUGAAAGAAUGACUGUGUUUCUGCUGCAGAGCAGAGUUUCUUCAGAUUGAAAACAAACUGCUUCGCUACAGAGAGAGAGAGGUAACAAACACUUGGAAGGUGUCAUUGAUACAUUUGAUGAUGGGUACACUGGGGAUGAGGAACUGCUGGAUACCAAAUGGCAUGGAAAAGAAAGGCCCGAAUGCAGGGGAUGCGAUCUGGAGUGGAAGGUGGAAGGCUUCAUCUGCACCGUCAGGUAGAAGGAGAAAUGGCAGUGCCUGGACCAAGCUGCAACUGAGACCACAGUGAUCUGCAGAUGUCUACUGCCUUUUCCACCAUUAAUACCAGAAAACAGAGGUUGUGUCUGGAUGAAGAUCUCCAUAGCCUGAGAUAUAUGGACCCUUUAAAUUUCAUCAGAAUGAAUUAGUUCCCAAAUAUUAAAUAUGAUCAUCUUAAAUGCUGAGUUAAAUGUUUAAAUCUGAAUGCAAAGUGCCACAUGAAUGUAUAUUUCAUAGACAUAUAAAUUCACAAUCUGAUAAACUGGAAUAUCAUGAAUCA